GACAGGGACCCCUAACUACACACCCGAAUCCUAGCUUUAGUAUCAGUAUGGAAGCCAGUCAGGAGUCUAAGGAGGCACUUAUCGAUAUCUGUACUUGGAGAAGAGCAACCAGACCCUGAGGAGUCUGAAGUAAAAGAAGGAGAUGAUCCGGGGGUGUGUGUGUGCCUUGUACCUGUGGCGCCUCGUGUUCAAAUGCUGGCUUUCCAGAGUGGUAGUUAUCACAGAGGAUUCUUCCCUCGCUUCUACAACUUGCAAACAGGAGGUUCUGUCAAGGAGCUAGACCAGAGUGAAGAAUUCAGGAACAGCAGAGAUCAGAGACCUUCAGCAACACAGAAGCCAAAGACCGUCUUGGAACUGUGAUGGGGUGAAGGCUCUGAAGCAACAGACAAGACCCAAGUCAGCAGCACAACAGCUACAAAGAGGCUUGUAUUCUCAAAGGCACAGAACAUGAUACCAUCACCCUCAGUACUAUGCACUUAAAUAACCUUUUUAAUAUGAAGUUUCAUCCUUUAUCCAAUAAGAUUCUAUAUGUAAACAGCUUGGUUUAUUUUAAACCUUAUACAGUCUGACUGAUUCUUCCACCUCAAACUCUAAAUCACCUGCUAGACAAAGGGUUGUAAGAUUUCACAAAGCUUUCAUUGUCUUGUUCACAGGAUUACUGGUGGCAGUGGGGACAUAAGUGAAGAGAAAUGUGGUUCCUAAGUAGGGUAGUCCUCGCUGGCGGAAAAGGCAGAUGUGUAGCAGACAGGAUCCUAAUAAAAGUAGUGUUUUGGCUUUGGGAUUAUAAACAUUGACAUUUUUGACCCUUAUACAACAGGAACGUUUAUGGAACAGCUCAGCCAACUGUCUUCAAAAGGCUCCACUGACACAAGGGCACUACAACAUGGUCAGUAGGUCAAUACCUGCAAGGAAUGGAGAGGGGGCUCUGUGUUUUGCCAUUCUGAAUUUCAUGAGCCAGCCUCAAGAGAUAUCUUCUGUUUAUCGAAAAAGCUUGCUGGUUCCUAUGCAGUUACUACUUUAUAAUAAUUGGUGCCUUGCCAGCUACUCCUAUUUUCUUCAGCACCUGCGAGAGCCAUUCUACACUGUACAACAGUUGUACAGACAGGAUACAUUAGAAGAGAGGAAGCACUAGUUGCUGGGUGGGAGUACAUGACAAGGAUAAUAGGGCUCUAUGUUUAUUCUCCCCUAUGCAGACAGAAAUAGGCCACUAACCGUACAAGCUGAACAAGAAUAAACUUACUCCCGUUUGUCCUGCCCUCCAGUAUACUCUAAAAUGGCACCAGUACAUACCAAGAUCUACCUUUCACCAUGAUGAAAAUAGUUCAAACUAUUUUGCAUGGAAUUUAAAGUUGAGAAAAUAAGGUAGGUAUAUCCAAAAAAGUUUUUCCCACAUGAUCACAUAGUGAACUACAUGAAAGAACCUUAGUAUUAACUGGCUGCUUAGGCAAAGACACAUGCGACCACUUCUGCGAUCACAGCAAUUUGAAAAAGGCCAACUUGAAUCACAGCAAUGAUUUUGGCUGUCCCUGUGGAAGAAGGCAGUUCAAACUAGCAAAGCUUCUGUGCACAGUAGCAUAUCCUGCUAUCACACAGAACAAGUAGCACCUCUGGUCUUUAUCAAAAAGCACUUAAGUAAAAAUCUGUGAUGUGUCUCUCAAAGAGCUUUUAGUUUCGCAUCCUUGCAGUGUAUUAUGACCAUCUGUUCUACCAUGCGUGGAGAGAAUACAUGGAGAAUUGUUACAUGAACUGGACUUUUAAGUUACAGUGGAGAGAAAGAAACACUGACACCCCUCUUAAGUGGGAUUUUUAAAUACCUUGUU